GAUGAACGCUAGCGGCGUGCCUAAUACAUGCAAGUCGAGCGAACGGACGAGAAGCUUGCUUCUCUGAUGUUAGCGGCGGACGGGUGAGUAACACGUGGAUAACCUACCUAUAAGACUGGGAUAACUUCGGGAAACCGGAGCUAAUACCGGAUGAUAUUUUGAACCGCAUGGUUCAAAAGUGAAAGACGGUCUUGCUGUCACUUAUAGAUGGAUCCGCGCUGCAUUAGCUAGUUGGUAAGGUAACGGCUUACCAUGGCAACGAUGCAUAGCCGACCUGAGAGGGUGAUCGGCCACACUGGAACUGAGACACGGUCCAGACUCCUACGGGAGGCAGCAGUAGGGAAUCUUCCGCAAUGGGCGAAAGCCUGACGGAGCAACGCCGCGUGAGUGAUGAAGGUCUUCGGAUCGUAAAACUCUGUUAUUAGGGAAGAACAUAUGUGUAAGUAACUGUGCACAUCUUGACGGUACCUAAUCAGAAAGCCACGGCUAACUACGUG
rnacentral:rRNA from 1 species